rnacentral:rRNA from 1 species
UUGAGCGGAGAUAUAUGGAGCUUGCUUUAUAUAACUUAGCAGCGAACGGGUGAGUAACACGUAGAUAAUCUAUCCUAUACUGGGGGAUAGCCCGAUGAAAGUUGGAUUAAUACCGCAUAUAGCUAUAUAGUUGCAUGAUUAUGUAGUGAAAGAUUUAUUGGUAUAGGAGGAGUCUGCGGCACAUUAGCUAGUAGGUGAGGUAAAGGCUUACCUAGGCGACGAUGUGUAGCCGGUCUGAGAGGAUGAACGGCCACAAUGGAACUGAGACACGGUCCAUACUCCUACGGGAGGCAGCAGUGGGGAAUAUUGCACAAUGGGGGAAACCCUGAUGCAGCAACGCCGCGUGAGUGAAGAAGGUUUUCGGAUUGUAAAGCUCUGUUAGCAGGGAAGAGGAAGGACGGUACCUGCAGAGGAAGCUACGGCUAACUACGUGCCAGCAGCCGCGGUAAUACGUAGGUGGCAAGCGUUGUUCGGAAUAACUGGGCGUAAAGGAUGCGUAGGCGGUUAAACAAGUUAUAUGUUAAAUAUAUAGGCUUAACCUGUAGAAAGCAUAUAAAACUGAUUAACUAGAGUGCAGGAGAGGUAAGUGGAAUUCCUAGUGUAGCGGUGAAAUGCGUAGAGAUUAGGAAGAACACCAGUGGCGAAGGCGACUUACUGGACUGUAACUGACGCUGAGGCAUGAGAGCAUGGGGAGCAAACAGGAUUAGAUACCCUGGUAGUCCCAUGCUGUAAACGAUGGGUACUAGGUGUGGGUUGUGA